UGGCCUUCAUGCCCUCUCUGUUUCCCUCCCCCUCGUGUGGAUGUUGUUUUCUGUCAAAAAAAGAAAAAAAAAAGUUUUGCGUCGCCGGUCGCCGCCGCCACCACUGGACGCCGCCUACGCGGACGCCGGAUGGAAGGUAGCGAAGGCCACCGAGACGCAUCGUCGUCACGGCUGCGGCCACGUGCGCUCGCUGCCACCCGCUCGCCCACUCUGGUUCUCUGUCUCAUCGCCCUCGCUCGCCGCUUCAACGCCGCAAACGCCGCAGGCCAUGACCACGCCGUGACCACUAGCAAUCCUCAGCGUGUUGUGCAUUGGCUACGCAGACGCCAAGGCUAUCGAGGCACAGGGACGUCGGAACAGACUCGGAGUCGGGCGGAGCGGCGCAGACCGACGCGAUUUUGUCUGAACAGGUCUUAAUUGGAAUUGGAUUGAAAAAAAAAAUAAAUCAAAUGCAAGGAGAAUUUUCUGAUUUCACUGGGCAAAGUACAAACCUAUAUCCUUGAAUCUCGAAUUCAAAUCCAAGUUCGACACGAAUUUCAUCUGCUUUUUUGGCUUCUUUAUAUACUACAGAUUUGGUUGGGUUAUCCUCAUAAAUUUCCUCGACGUGCAGGAGAAUUUCCUGAUUUCACUGAGCAAAGUACAAAACUAUAUCCUUGAAUCUCGAAUUCUGCUCUCGAUGAGAAGAGCAAGUACAACUCUGAACAAGAACCAAAGAUUCGUUGUACACACGAUCAACAAGAAUAUGGAUUCUUUCAAUAUUAAAUCAGACAAUGGUGAUACUUUAGAGGACCAACCUUUAAAGAGACUUAAAUGUUCAGAGCUGAUGGAUUCUGAGUUUGACAAAAUGUGAAUGUGAAUUUCCUAUCUCGAACAAGUCUGAAGAAAAGUAACGCCACUGAUUCUUAUGUUACUCACGUACUGACAAGAGUAGCACUAGGGGUUACUUGAAUAUUGGUACUCACCAGUCUUGAUACGGAGAAGAGUACUGCUGAGGAAUAUUAAACAUAGCUGCAUAUAUUGAAGCAUUAUCUCCUUCCUAUCGGUGUAAAAAACAAAGGUCAUCAAGACUGGUACAAGAAAUUUUUAGACCCAACACCACCCCUGCACGUGCCUUUGGACCAAGGGUCGGGCCCUUCAUGCACCGUCACCAGAAGCUCGCUUCCUAAGUAGUGGAGCAGGUGAACGGGGCAAGGUGGAUGGCCAGGAUAAUUUCACAAGGCGAGAAAUCCACGAUCCACAUGUGCAAGGGGUGGGCGGAGGAGGUUCCCCUUUCUCCCUCAGAACUGGAAUAGGAAUGGCCCUGUAAGAAGUUGAUUGUUGGAUUAACAGUGUUCAUUCUCCUGACCUUGAUGAAGUGUGAUAUUGGUACGCAAAGUACAGUUACGCAUGUCAUAUGAGAAUUGCAUUUUGCAUUGACAUUCAUUUUCCUGCUAUUCCAGUUUUAUUAUGGAUGCUAUACUGCUUUUAUGAAGUGUGAUAUUGGUUUUGAUUUAACAGUUCAUUCAGGUUUUUUUUAACUGUUAGAUCUCUUAUGCAUAAACCAUGUUAUUAAGGUGUCUGGUACAUCUUUAGAUGCCUGUGAUAUAUGUGAAGAACAUUUACUCUAGAAUUAAGCAUAACUGAGUGCAUAUUCUUUUCAGAAGAUUAGCUUUCUAUUGUUCCUAUAAAUUAUUAGUACUCUUUUUCAGUUAUGCAGGAUGAUAACCUGCCCCCUUUUUCGGUGAUAUGUAUUGGACUCGAAUAUAUAAAUUAUUUAUUUAGUUCAUCUU